GGAGGGGUGGCCGAGUGGUCGAAGGCGCUCGCCUGCUAAGCGAGUGUGCCGGCAAAACCGGCACCGUGGGUUCGAAUCCCACCCCCUCCGCCA
rnacentral:tRNA from 2 species